rnacentral:rRNA from 1 species
GACGAACGCUGGCGGCGUGCUUAACACAUGCAAGUCGAACGGAAAGGCCCUGCUUUUGUGGGGUGCUCGAGUGGCGAACGGGUGAGUAACACGUGAGUAACCUGCCCUUGACUUUGGGAUAACUUCAGGAAACUGGGGCUAAUACCGGAUAUGAGCUCCUGCUGCAUGGUGGUGGUUGGAAAGUUUCGGCGGUUGGGGAUGGACUCGCGGCUUAUCAGCUUGUUGGUGGGGUAGUGGCUUACCAAGGCUUUGACGGGUAGCCGGCCUGAGAGGGUGACCGGCCACAUUGGGACUGAGAUACGGCCCAGACUCCUACGGGAGGCAGCAGUGGGGAAUAUUGCACAAUGGGCGGAAGCCUGAUGCAGCAACGCCGCGUGCGGGAUGACGGCCUUCGGGUUGUAAACCGCUUUCGCCUGUGACGAAGCGUGAGUGACGGUAAUGGGUAAAGAAGCACCGGCUAACUACGUG